CUGUUGAUCUAGUGUAUACAGUCAGGCUUGAUUUGGUCCCCUUGAUUGAUCCUUUGGUCUUAGCAUUGAAGCAUUUAUGUUGAGGUGAAGAAACCAACAUGGACCCAGGACCUCAAAUGAAGUGACUUGUAAGCCUAGACAAGGGCCUGGGCUUUAUAAUUUUCGGUUUGUUGUAACUCAAAGUCUCACACAUAUUUGCAUACAUUUCCUACCCAGAGGUUGGUCUAUAUACAACAUUAGAUGAGUGAUGGUCCUUUUUAGAUACCUCAGGAUUAUAUGGUCUAGAAUAUCCUAUCUUCAAGGGGAAUGAUUAGCUCAUCUUCCAUGAAGGCAGCCUCACUAUUUGGGUUUGGGUGCUUAGGGUAGCAGUCGGCUUUGCUAAAGAAAAAUAGAUCCCCUCCUCCAACUCCACUGUUCACGCGGGCAAAAUUCAGAAGUUUGGAGCUUACCCAAGGAAAACCUCUGUGCUGCUGUCCAGCAACAGUAUUUGAUUAUCCUUUUCUUCUGGCCUAAAUUGCUGGUAAUGGUUAGAUUAUGACUAAAAAUGGAGAUUCUCUCAGGAUAUCAGAUAUAUCAUGUGCCCAGGAGGUCAUCAAAGCAGGUCUCUGUCUUUACUCAGCUCAGGCAUCCAGAUGCAGAAGUUGAAUGGCCCGGCAGCUGCCAGCACUUAUACCUAAAUCCUACAAGAUGGGGCAGGAGAAGAAGGGGAGAGGUAUGGAAAGUGUGGUCUCCCAUAGUCACCAGAGUAAAGGGUUGGUGUGGUGGUGGAGCCACUGUCACAAGGGCCUCUAAGCCAAAUGAUGGUUGGUUUAUCACUAAUUUGCAUACUCAUUCAACACAUACGUGUUUCUGUAAUUAUUGACUACUGGACUUUGCAAUUAGUUACUGCAAAUGCCAAGAAAUAGUUAUGGUCCUCAGUCUUGUGGACUUUUCCAGUCAGGCUAAGGAGACAGAUAAAAAAAUAAGACAUUGUGAUAAAAUCUUUGAGGACCGGACCUAGAGAAAUGAAAGACUCAAAACAUAAAGGAAGCCUUGAGACAGAAGUCUUGAGUUCUACACUGAAAAUCAGAGAAGGUGCCACACGUUGUGUGAUCCUUGAGCAGGACUUGGUGGGUGAGCAUGAUUCUACCAAGUGCAGGAGGACAGAAAGAUCCUCGAGGUUACAAGAAUGGAAUGUCCAGGUGCUCAGAGCUUUGCAAAGAUGUAGGAAGAGGUUCUGUGGGGAUACAGUAUGGGGGCUCUAUGAAAGUUAGUGUUGGCAUUCUAUUCAUUUUGACUGAAAAAGAAUUUAUGAGUGCUUUUUUUUUUGUGCUAGUCCAGAGUUGAAGCUUGGGGAUACUGAUAAGAGAUCUCCCUCCUUCAGGGAGAAUACAGUAUUAUAAGAAAGAUAUUCACAUAGUGAUUUCAACAUGGUAGGUAAAAAAGGGUCAGGAGAGAUGAGUCUAGAUAGAAUGUCAGGUUGAAACCAAAUGCCAGGGCGUAGGGUUUAGACUUUACCUGAAGUCCUUGGGGAACCAUGAAAAUUUUUGAAUCUAAGGUAUAGUUGGGAUCUCCAUGGGAGAUGGAUGCCCAUGGUGGAUGGGGGAAGAACAUGUGGGAAGGGGGAACAGCCAGCUAUGGGUGGGAUUGUCUCAGGCAAAGUUAUUGAGACUUGAACUGGGAGGUGAUGAUGAGACUGCAGUGGAGACAGAGCUGAUAGAUGUCUCAGAAAAAAUAAGUUUGCUCUUUACAGACUGUGAAACUGAAGCUUAGAAGAGUUAAGUGACUUAGUCAAAUUCAUAGAGAGAGCAAGUACUAGAGCUGAAAUUUGAACUCAGACAACCUGAUACGGAGAAUGUAGUCUAAGGCAGUGGGAAAGAGAAUGAGAUCUUGAGUUUUAAAACAACAGAUUUUUAUCCUGCCUAUUUCCUAGAUGUGAUACAAGCAUUAAAUAAUAUAACUCAUGGAAGCCCUUUGUGUCAUGCCUGGCAACUAGUAAGGGCUCCGUAGCUGAUACAUUUAUUACUAUUUUCAUCAUUAUUGUAAAACCUUCAUUCCUUGUCUCCCAUUCAUGAGGCACAUCACCUCUGCUUAUGCUAUAGAUUCUUAAGCCUCAGAGUGCUAAUGAAAGAAAUAGCCCCUGCAGAAGACACCAUGAGUGCUCCGUCCUUACAAAGACAGACGUGUUGGUAUUGUGUAAGAUACCUACCACAUUCUUGGCAAGACAGUGUAAGGAGGUAAAUAAUGAUAAUACUUUAGAACAAAUGAGCAAUCAUUAUUAACACAUUUGGAAUGUAAAAAAUGUUAGUCAUUUGGAACAAAUGUCACAAAAAUAUUCUACCAUGGGUACUUGGCUUUAGAAACUAUGUGUGUUUCCUUUAAAGUCCUUUUAAUAAUGACAAAGUCACUUCUCUCCAGUGACUUUGCCACCAGCCUUACCAUGGGGAAAGAAGAACUUGCUAGGGGAGUGCACUGGCCUUCCUAGUAACCCUCAAAAUGUGUAUGCUGUUAGAAAAUGAGCUUCGUGUGAAGUUAUCUGUUCAAAUCCAAAAGUGAAGGAAUUGGACACACCUCAGUUUUGUUCUUUUCCUUCAUAUGUCAUAUAUGAAGGGACAUUUGCCACUCUCACAUCUUAGAAGGCUUGAGUGCGUUUAGCAGGGGCUGCUGCCUGGGGUCGAAGCCACAAUCUCAGUUUUAUCGAACAGGUUUUAGUGGGACAUUAUGAUGAAGCAAAAGGUUUUAAGUUUAUCUUACUUAUUCUUUACGUUAGAAAAAAAAACCCAAGUUUAAUUUAAUACUUGUUUGUGAUUUCAUUUUAGAGUGAAAACAUGAUUGCUAUCUCUCGUUUUUAAAAGACAACAUUUUUUUCUUUUCUUUCUUUUUUUUUUUUUGUAAACCAAACACAAUUUUUGAGUGAGACAUGUUGUUUCCUCUCUUUAUGUGUGUUCAUACUAAGUGCUGGUAUAAUUCCAUUAUGUUUUGACUUGAACAUUAAAUAUUACCUUGAAGAUACACUUCCCAGCAGCCGUGUUCUGAUAGUGACAUAUUGUACUGUUUGAAGGGUGUCAUAUGGUCAUCUGUCAGCCGAAUGUUGUUCCAUGCAAAAAAAUUGUAUUCUUCAUAUGUCAUCUAGAAUGCCUCAUGUUAAAAAAAAAGACAAAUCUAACAGUAUUCACCAAAUCUGCAUGUGAGGAAAUGAGACAGGGGUGGGAUGGACCUAAGGUAGGUGGAAAGGGGUUAGUCCACUCAGAAUGUAGUCACUGUGUAAGAAACAUGAAGCAUUGUUUCACUUGGAGUAGUUUACAUUUGAUAGGAUUAUAUUUUAUGGCAGAAAAGCACACACUUCCUUUAAGGACUUACAGUACCUAUUGCUCCUUGUCUCUUGACAUGCGGACAAAGAUGCAAACAAGAUUCCUGGUAGGAACAGGGGAGAAAAAGCGGCACCUCCCCCACAAAAAUACAAACAAAAAACAAAAACAAAAACACCCCAGCAAUCUGAGAAAAAUGUGGGAGACUGAGGCUUGCUUUAUCAGAGAUGAGAGUGAUAGAGAAAAGAAGAACGUGUUCUUGCCUCAGAAUAAUUUAGCAGUCAAUAUUUCUAGUGGCAAUAUUUCUUUCAACAGGAAUUAAGAUGCUGGCCUUUAUCCAAAGACACCUCAUCCCCUAUUACAUUAUAGAUCUGAUCCAGCUGUGGCUGCUUCUAUACAGAGAUGAGGGCAGGUCUAAUAGCCAAUUUGUAGGGUAUACUGCACCAAAUAUGUAGACGAUGGAUGACCCCCCCCCCCACCAUGAAUUUUCCUUCUCUCUGAUCUUUGCCUGGGAUAUAUCUAGAAAUUCAUGGAUGCUAUUAUGUUCCCGUCUUUAAAAUGCAGGGGAAAGAUGCAUCUGUGUUUGUAUGUUACCUUGCAUUUUUAGCAUCUAGAAUCUAUACCCACACUAAGAAAGGAAGGGUGGCACCUGUUUGUUUCUUAUUUUAUCGCUGCAUUUCAUUCCUGAAUUCUCUCAAAGUUAAAAUAACUACAUUUAUUCCUCCCCCCCCAACUUUUUUUUUUGCAAUUUAAUUAAAAAUUGUAGUCCCUUAAAAGAAAAACUAAAAAGACACACUGUAUAUCCCGAAAUUUUGGAUUUUUUAAAAUAUAAUUUAUUGUCAAAUUAGCUAACAUACAGUAUGUAAAGUGUGCUCUUGGUUUUUUGGGUAGAUUUCUGUGGUUCAUCGCUUACAUACCAUACCCAGUGCUCAUCCCAACAAGUGCCCUCCUAAAUGUGUACCUCGGAACAUUUACAGAUUUUCUUCUUCACCUGCUCUUACCGUUUAUAUUAUGCAUCUCUUUGAACUAUGUAAUGUCCAUCAAGGUAAGAAUAAAGGGAAUCCUAAGGCACAGAAGUCUGAUACAUCGCAAUACGAAGGCAAUCAAGUAUUAAAAGACAAGAGUAGGGGCACCUGGGUGGCUCAGUGGGUUAGGCAUCCGACUUCAGCUCAGGUCAUGAUCUCGUGGCUCUUGAGUUCAAGCCCCGCGUCGGGCUCUGUGCUGACAACUCAGAGCCUGGAGCCUGUUUCAGAUUCUGCGUCUCCCUGUCUCUCUGCCCUCUCCUGCUUGUGCUUUGUCUCUUUCUUUCUCAAAAAACAUAAAUAAAUAAACAUUUAAAAAAUUUUUUAAAGAGACAAGAUAGGUAUUUAAGCAAAGGGUAAAUAGAAGUCCAUGAUUUUUGACCUGUAUUUUAAUUCACUACCAACAUUAUUAACUUCAUUUUUGAUUCAGGUUCAUGCUAUCUCAAAGGCUCUUCUAAGUUUUGAUUAAGAGAAGGGAGAGAGAAAGGGAGACAGAAGGAGAGGUGAUAUUUUUUUUUCAGGGCUGAGAAAACAUUGUGUUGAAGUUUUUACGGUCAGAUAUAGAAAAAGCACAAAGUGAGGCCAAUGGUAAUAACCUUGCAGUUAAUCCUACGGGAUGCCAUGUUAUUUUUCUUGGCUUUUCCGGAACUUCAGAGAAAGGUUCACCCCUGGGUAUAUUGAUGGCAGUAGAAGGUCUUGGAUCAAACUCCCAGAUACACUUUAUCUCAAACCUGCCACAAUUUUCAAAUGGCUAAUUGAAUUUCACAUGAAGAGAAUAGUUGUAUCAAUGAAGAUGAAUAAAAACAUUUCCUAAUAAAUCAGCAAGAGAAACAUUUGUGGGGCUUUGUUUUCAGGUUAGGGUUGACAUUUUCAGUUCAAGGAAAGCAAGUUAAAGUGACAGUUCUUAUGAGAUUGUUAUAUAUUUGUCGAGAAAGCUAGUUUGACUAAUACACGGGUUAUUUCAAUAGUUCAAGGACAGGUGGGUAAUAAUCCUCUUGUCAUAGUCUACUUUGUACAGAAGUAAAAAGCGGCCCAUUUUUCCUGCUAUUAAGGAAAAGUUUUAAGUUUAUCUUACUUAUUCUUUAUGUUAGAAAAAAAAAACCAAUAUAUACAUGGAUUGUAACAUGUAUAUAUUAAAUAUAAACUAGAGGGAGAAGGAAGAAAUUAAUAUUUACUGAGCAUUCAUCAUAUGCUAUAUAACUGAGUCUUAACAUUCUAACUCUCUCAAUGAAACAGCUGCCAGCAUUCCCAUUUUAUAGAUAAGAGAAAAAAAGCUCAAGGUCAUUUAGCUAGUAAUUGAUCAUGAUCAGAUCUGUACCUACAUCUCUCUGAGCCUGGUGACUAUGCUUUUUGUUUUGUGUUCUUUUGCAUAUAAAUUUUAAUAAAAAUAAUGCAAUAAUAGCUUAAAGUGUAGAGAAGCUCAGAAUCGAUCUAAAAAUGUGUCUGCAUAAGACCUGUAAUAAUAGCAUAUUUUCUUUUGAAACUAGUAGGACAUUCUUUUGUGUUUUGUCAUGAUUGUUUCCAUGUUUCCAAAGGGUCUAGAAGCCUUGAAAGCCACUACAAGCUAGUAGAUGAAACUCUGUUGUAGUGUGUUGUUUGCAUAGUAUCUCCUAAAAUGAAGACUUACCUUGUGCCAUUCAUGUUAUCUUAUUUUCUUCUUCACUUCUGAUCUUCUGCCAUUUGAAUUUUGCCUAUUUGCACUCCAUGUUUUUUCUUUCUCUCUUCCUCCAUGUCUCCUCAAUUCAUAAAAUGUGAACUUGGAACCUGGGGGUUAACAGCAGAAAAUGAUCCUAUCAGUCUUACGGCCAUGGCCGUGUGCUUUGAUUGCUGAGAAUCUGAAGGAAAUCACAACUCUGGUGGAUGCAAACUCUCCCCCUUAACUCCCCCUUUGUGAUAUCGGUGAGAAAAAAAUGUCCUUUCUCUAGAAUACGUUUUUCAAAGUAAAUACAUUUAUUUGAAAAUUAUUUUGUAGUACCUAAUAUGGCAACAUUUUAUAUGUAUCGAUGAGCAGGAGAGUAAUGGCUAAAGUCUGUCAGAUAGCAACUUGUUAACAAAGUGUGCCUGUAUCAAUACGCUUUAUUUCAUAGGAGUCAUUAUUAUUAAUUGAUGAUUUCCCUUACCCAUCAAAAUGUUACCUGUUAAGCUUAGCGUGGCCUUACUUCUAAUUUUUUAAAAGUGGGGAGGGAGAGACUUCUCUUGAAGAGAGUUAAAUAAAGGAAUAAGGAAGUCCUACAAAAACAGCUGCUAUGAAUUUGCAUUUCUAUGGACGGCAUACUUUAGCCAGAGGAUAGAAGCCACCCACAGCUAUGCAUCACAUCUAGGGAGCUCUGUCGGAGUGUCUGUGCCAUUUCUAAGGCCCAGUGUGUCUUCUGCUUCCAGGUCUUUGCACUUCAGCUAGCUGCUACCAGUUACGUAUAUUUUAGGUAAUACUCUUCCUUGACUUUUCCAAAAAAUAAAAAUAAAAAAAAAGAGGGGGUAGAAAAUUUUAUUUACUCAGGAAACAAACUGAAAUAGAGUUAAUUUUCAGGUUUGCCGCUGAAUUAUCAGAGGUUACUAUGUUACAAAUGGCAAAAGAAGGGCCCUUUGCCCGUGUGGUAAUGCUGUCAGGGACCCUGCGGCUGUUGGCUCAGUUCAUGAUGUAUUACACUGCAAGCAUUUCAGCGCUCUCGGGGGAUCUCUGGUCCUACCAUAAGGUCAAGAGUUAACUACUUGUAUUUUAGCUGUGUACCGCUAUCAAUACCGCUCCUAUGGAAACCUCACUUGACGUCAUUUUUGAAUCUUUGUGACCGUAGUCAAGCCUUAGUAAAAGUCAAUAAGAACAUUAGACUGUUGUCUAUAUUAUUACUUGCCACUUCCUGCCAGCAAUCCACCAAUUCAUUAGCAGAGAGUUUUGGAACUCUUGCUUGAUUAUUUAUGCAGUCAAUAGCAAGGCUUGUCUGCAUUCAUAAUUGUUUGAUUUUAUGGCCUCUUCUUUAAACAAACAUUGUCUAUGGUAAUGUGAUGCCCUGAUGGAUGGGAAAGGUUUUGUCUGUGAAUAUCAUUUAGAUAAUUAAAAAUGACAGAUGAAAUCGCCCGCUGUCUUGACCUGUACUUUGUUCCCUCAGUGAUGCUGAAGAGAUGCUGAUUGCUGUCAAUCAAAACCCAUUGGAGGUUUGUAAAUUCUGGCUGCUGUGAACUCUGACCCCUACUGUUGAUCUGAAAUAGAUAAUAACCUUGAAAUUCUAUUAGAAUUUAAAAACAGUUUUACUAAAGGGGCACGGUAUAUAUUUCUUUUCCUCUAGAACACAGUUACUUAAUGUCACUCUUCACAAUAUCCAGAAGUAAAGUGAAAUAUAAUGGUUAGCAAAGCUUAAUGUAACAAAUCAGAACAAAGAUCUUACUCUGUAAUCCCAAACUCCUGAUUAGGAAUCCCAUCUGCUGGCUAGGAGGGGAUGAAAACUUCAGCUUUGCUACUUCACUGGCUCUGAAUGGUUAGCCCUUUUUUUUUUUUUUUUUUUUUUUGGCUCAUGUUUACCAAUUCUGUUGUUGAAUGAAUUAUUUUCAUGCCAGCGUGAUUUUCAUUUAGUAUACUUUUUCCUAUAUUCCCAUAUUUAUCCUAUACAUCUUUCAAACCACUAUUUUUCCCGAGCCAAAGGAAAUAACACAACUAGAAUUUUGAAGACAAUAGAGAUCCAAAGGCCACUGUUGAUGUCCAGAGUUCUCAACAAACAUCAUCAAAACCUUAGGUCAAGAGAUCAGGCUGAUAAAUACAUAUGCCUUGCAAAUUGUUUUUUAUCAUUACCCAGACACUUAAAAUAUAUUCAGAAACCCCACUAGUGUUUAAAAUACACAUUCAGGUAGAUGAUCAUGGGAAUGGAGGAAGGGAGUACUUGGAUUUCUCAAUAUAGGAACCAUCAAACUAGCCAACAGAAAAAAAAAAUCAAUAGCACAUUCUACAGCUCAAAAAUUAUAACAAUCAGGCUUCGACAGUUUUUAGUGCAGUGGUUGUCACAAAUGUAUGUAAUAGCAAGAACAGUGCAAUAAGAGAAUUGAAAAUAGCAGAGAUCUCUUGAAAGGUGAUUGUAAAGUAGUGUUGGGUUUUCUGCUAGAGAAACUUCUUCAGAGUUUAAUGAGUUUGUGGAGGGUCAUAUGAAGAGUUGUUAUCCUUGUUUUGCAUUUGGUAAUCAGCGGAUCCUCUGAAAUAAUAUUAGUUAUGUCAGUGCCUCAGCGACAAUGGAAAAUAAAUAUUAUCAUUGAUACUUGGCAGUUGAUGAAAGUAUCAGAAGCAGAAUUCUUAACUUUAUUUUGAGGGCAUUUGUCCAGAAUCAACCAUUAGCUGUCUAAGGAUAAUACCGUGUCACAAUUCAAGUGUUCUUUUGUUAACCUUGAGAAAUGAAUUUGGGAUAAAUUUAUUAUUGCCUAAUAGAAACUAGGACAGGAAACAUAAAUGUGACUAUGUGUAUUUUCAGAAGCUGUUCUCAAAAGCUUAGCACAAGUCCACUUCUUCAGUGAUGAUUUCCUUGGUCUUCCAAGUGCCCUGGGAUGACCUCUUCUUCUGACGUUUUGGCACUUACUAUGUUUUGCCUUAUUAGUACUUUCAUUUCUUCAUCCAUUCAUGUGAUCAUUUACUUUUUUAUUCACUAAAAAGUAUUAAUUAAAGAACAUUCAGGUAUUAAGCACUUUUCAUAUACUAAUUAUUCUGCAUUUUCAUCUUACCCCCCCCCCCAUCUUAUCUAGGCAAACAAACUUGAAGACCUACUGUUGCCUUCCCAGGCUAGGUUCCUGCUUUUGCAUGAGUAUCUUGGUCUCUCUUGAGUUGGCUUUACCCUUGCAGGUUCUCAUGAGGCCUCUAAUGACGUGGGCUUUUUUUUCACUUGGGGUUUGUGAGAAAGGGAGAGUGAAGAGCCUAUGAACUCCAUUGAGACAACUGGCUGAUGAUUUUUUUUUUUUUUUAGCCCAGGCUCUGUGGAGGUUUCUCUAAUGAUGGUUGGGUCUCAGCUCAUGUGGAUCAUAAACAUCACAACUAUAGUUGAAUCACGAACAUGAUGACUCAUUUUUCCAUCCCAAAUUCUCCUUUCCUUGCGCCUUUGCCAUAGCAACAUUUGAUUUAAUGGUGACACUGUAGUCUCUCUUUCCCUGGACUCUGAGCAGAGGUAAGGGUUAAACAUGCGAGAUUCCAGUUUUCUUAUUUGGCUCUGUGUAUUCCAGAUUUCUCUGUUAGCUUGCUAGACCAAGUAAGUUUUGUAUAGCAGAACACUUAUGUGUUUCAGGAUUAAUUCAUGCCAACUCCACUAAUAUUUUAAGCACUAAUAUUUUUCCAGGAGAGAAAACCACUUAGCUACUAAAAAUCUUCAUGCUUCCAGACCUUUUUGUUCCUUCUUCUGUUCCCUGUGCUAUCAUCUUCACAAAUAAUGCACAAUCUCCUAAAUCCUAAAUUUCUAGGAAAAGAAUUUUUGUGCUUAUUUUGUUCAAUUUCUUUUUGGACCUUUGAUGACAUUUAAGACAGAGUUGAAAGAAUUUCAGCUGAACUUACUACCUUAUAUUUACUAUAUAUUGAGUGUAUGCAUAUAGUAUAUCUGCCCAUGAGAAAAUGUCUCUAAUCUGACGCAACAUGCACAAAUUCUUUAUUUAUGGGAAUUUUGUAACGUAUAAACAUGGCCAGUUGUCACUUAUUUCAUGGUAGCCUUAUUUUGAUGCCUAAGACUUUCAUUCUAUUGUAUGAUAUGGAUGCAAAUAUAAAAUGGUAGUGUUAGAACAGAUUUUCAUAGUAUACAGGGAGUAUAUCAAAUCCAUAGGAAAUGGUAAGCUUGACACCACAUUAAGACAAGGGUGGUUUCUUGCCUUUUAAAAAUAAGUUGUAUAGGGGUGCCUAGGUAGCUUAGUAGGUUAAGUGUCCGAUUCUUGGUUUUGACCCAGGUCAUGAUCUGAGGGUUUGUGAGUUCGAGCCUCCAGCCUCGCAUCGGGAUCAACGCCGUCUGUGUGGGGAGCCUGCUUGGCAUCUCUUUCUCUCUGCCCCUCCUCUGCUCACACCUACAUGCACACAUAUGCAUGCUCUCUCAACGUAAAUAAACUCAAAAAAAUAAAAAUAAGUUGGAUAUUGGUAUCUUUUUUUAAAAUAACCAUUUGUUAAAUAACUUUUUAUAAUAUUUAUUUAUUAUAUCUGAUAGAGUGUGUGUGAACAAGCAGGGAAGGGGCACAGAGAGAGGGAGACACAAAAUCCCAAGCAGGCUCCAGGCUCUGAGUUAUCAGCACAGAGCCCGAUAUGGAGCUCGAACUCACCGAGUGUGAGAUCAUUACCUGAACUGAAGUCAGACGCUUAACCAACUGAGCCACCCAGAUGCCCCCUGCAUAUUAGCAUCUUAAGAGGCCAAUGUUUGCCAAAUGGAUGCCAGUUACAGAUCCAGGACUUUGUACUGACCUGGUUUUCUGUGUAGAGAUUGAACUUCUGCUAAUAUUUGUUAAGCACUUACUAAGUGUUAAGUCACUGUGCUAGGCACUUUCAAACUGACAUUGUCUCCUUUAUUUUGUGUUGAAAACAAUGAUUAUUCCCAUUAUUCAUAGAAACUAAAAUUCAGAGAACCUAUGUAAUAUGCUCUAAGUCCCAUAGUUAACCAAGCAGCAGAAAUGGGAUUCUGUCUUUAAUGUUUUCUGGAACUAAAUCCAGGGUUCUUUAUUCUACAACACAAUACUUUUAGGUGUAUCAUUAUAUCAGCACUUUAUUCUAAUUAGUCUCUUGCAUGAAGUUAAUAAUAAUAAUUUUUUCUGGUUUCAAAUAAUCGUUGUUGCACUGUGUGUGCCAAGCUUUCUACUAAGUGUCUUAACUGAAUUCAGUUGGUCCUCUAAAGAAGUAUAGGAGGCAAGUAUCAUCAUCUACAUUUUUUGGAACAGCAAAUUGGUGUUUAGAGAUGAACUUAUCCAAAGGACAGAAUAAUCCAGCCAGAAUCCAAAUCCAGCUCUGCCUCUGUCCAGAGCUUAUGCUCUUGACCGUCCCACCCAGAGACAUAGCAUGUAUACAGCACAGCAGGCACUUAAUCAGGCACUUAAUCAGACCUUUGAUUCCAGCCCUAGCAGUGGAUGGUUCCGUGCAGAUCAGAAAUAGACAUGCAGGUCCUCUGCUUAUUUAACUGAAUUCAAUCCAUUUGGGGGGAGGUGGUAAUUUUUGUUUGGCUUCAUUUUACCAAGUUCAGCCAAACUGAUUUAUAUGAAUCCUUGUUCGGCCAAACUGAUUUAUAUGAAUCCUCCAAUUAUCUUUUCAGUAUGCCUAUGCCAGAAAUUUUGUUAGAGAAAUGUUCUUUUCAUUUCACCCUCUCAGGGAGGGACAAUUAAGAAAAAUCAAGUGCUAGUGACAGCUGUGUCUCAGAGAGGAGGUUUUUCCUACCUGAUUAUCCAGUUGUUUUGAGGAUGGCAGUUCACACUGCUCAGAGAAGCGUCUAAUUUCCCAAAGAUUAAUAAUAUUAAAGAAAGUUGAAUGAAGCAAACAGCAUACAUGCCAUCAGUACAGGGCCCCAGUCAAAACCACACUGCCCAAUUCCCCUCUGCUAUUGGGGAGAUAAUUACUGAACCUUUGUUCAACUGAAGUGAAUGAAUUUUGAAUCCUCUGUAUAUUUAAUUAUCCAAGCUGAACCUUUGUUAUUUUUCUUAAAACGCGCACACACACACACACACACACACACACACACACACACACACACAGAACCAAUCCAGGUAAUCCCCUGUGGUAUAUUCUGAGCACUAAUUACUUCCCCAAAUCUCAACAUUAUUUUAACUUGCUCUUAGUAAUAUGCUGUAAGUAUUAUUUGGAUUUAUUAGCAUGCUUUUAUAAGUCUUUUCUCUUGACAAGGAUGUUUAUUUUGCCAAUCUACUUCUAGUUUAACAUUGACUUGUUGUUGGUCUCUAAACGUGCUUUGGCCUCGAAUAAGUACAGAUUUUGAAACAUUUGUGACACAGAUCUAAAAGAGUAGAUCUGUGAAAUACUGGAAGUAUUUUGCCCAUGAAUAGGCACCAUCUAUUCUUUGGAAAUGGAAUUUUUAUGGCUUUGGUCAUUAUUCUCAAGUAGCAAAGAAGUGUUGACUGUUCAUUUUGAAGAGAUGGAGGUAGUUUAAAAUCACCAAAAUUUGUUUAAAGCUCAUAAACUCUACAUUUGAGUACAAAGUGAUUUUUUUUAAUUCUGAGGGGCUCCCGGGGUUAUAUUUUGCUACAAUAUGAAAAUUAAUUGUGACAAUAAAGGCCAUGAUUAUAAGCCUUUCACACUGUCCCACUGUGACAAUUAGCUCCCAAUUGUUAGACCAUUUAUUUAUUAGAACAUUAAGAAUUGGAGCUGUCUUGACUUGUAACUGAAAAUAGAUUAUUAUUGGGGGUGGUUAUGAACCCAAAGGACAUACCAUAAAGUGUUUUUACUGGUUGAAGAUAACAGUGCAUUUCAAGAUAAUACAGUUGGGUCACCUCUGAUAGAUUUCAGGAGCAACGUUAUAAAAGGUGUCUAACAGGUGGCUUGCCUCCAAACUCUGUCAUACAGUUAGUUUUCUUUGGCGAGAGUGAACUUUUAAAAUAAGUGUAUUGUUUGUGAAGCGAGUCUGACAUGCAGGCAGCAUGAUCAAAGGGACCAUUUUUUCCUUAGGAACAUGGAGAGCGUGCCUCUUCCAGGAGAACAAGGUAAGACAGACGUCCCUGAAAGUAUGCAGGCUGUUUCCUAAAGAGCAACAAGGAGAAUGAGGAAAAAGCCUCCAUUAAACUUUCAAAGAGACAUGUGUUUCAAACAGACUUGUUCAGCACUUACUCCCUUUGUAAGAGCACAGGAACUCUAUAGAUGUCUGUGCACCUGUGGGUGGAAACCCCACUGCAUGCCCCGAGAAGGAGGACAUUACAAAGAUAAGCAAGAAAUUGACUGCGUCCUUUCUAAAAACACUGCCCUGAACUCCUGAUGUGUUGUAGUUGAAGUAUAGGUGCCCUCUUCCUUUUCUUUGUAAGUAGUUAUUUUGAUGUGUUUUGGGCUUCUGUUUUUUUUUUAACUCACUAGCAUUAGUUCAGGAAGAUUUCUUAAUAUUUACUCUAAAUUUAUAUUCAAAGACAGUUUAAGGUAGUGGUUAAGGGUAUGCAUAUUAACUGUGUGAUCCUAAGCAGGUUGCUUCAAUUAUCUGCCUCAGUUUCCUCAAAUGAAAAGUGGAAACCAAACUGAUAUUUAAAAUCUGAAGGGAGAAAACAUUUAGAAUAAUAGCAGACACAUCAUCAGUGCACUGUGCAUGCUAGUAUAGUAUUUUUAUUACCCGGAAUAAUCAUUUUGGUAACUUAAGAAGCUUUUUUUUGAGGCUAAUCAGCAAAUAUAUAUAUGUUAUAUAUUAUGCAGAUAUAUAUAUUAUAUAUUGCCGUUUCUGAUAAUUUUGUCAUUUUCCUUCACCUUGAAUUUUAUAAGAAUUUCCUUUAUAUUUUUGAAGAUAGCUUGUAAAUCCAUUAUAGACUAAAUAUCUUUUAAAAUUUUUCAUACCCACUUGUCAUUAAGAGGGAUUAGUGAAGUACCUGAAUCCAAGCACUCAAAUUCCAGAAAUAAUAUUUGAAUUCCAAGAAAAGAAAAUAUCUUGAAGGAUAGAGGGAAAUAAUAACAAAUAUUCACCUACGAGUGUGGAAAUCCUGCUCACACCUAUCCCUGUAGAAGAUCCAAGUCAAGUUCUAACUUGUUGGGGCUGAGAGAGAAAGAGUAAAAAAAAAAAAUCUGGCACUAUAUGGAUUGAUUUUAAAUCUAAAUUCUCACAGCAUUAAGUAAAAGCUAAAGCUGGUGAUUGGUUGGAAAAGUACAGGUAUAGUCUUGCUGUAAAAUUGUUCUACCAGGUACAUUAAUGGCCCUAAUUAACAGAGACAGAAAUGGCUCUAGAAAGAACAGGGACUAGAAUUUAGUUAAACAACAUAUUCAGAGACACUCUUAGUUCAACUGGAGGAAAAUUCAGCUGUGAAGUUCUCUCUUACUUGUCUAAAUAGUUCACAUUCAGUGGCAUUUGGAAACGUUUUUAACGAGAUGAGUGGUGGUGUGGGAUUGUCCAUUGGAAGGAAAAAAAAAAGUCACAUGAAACAACUUAUGUAUACCUGUCUAGGAUUUUAGUUUUAUCAAAGCAGACCUGCGUUGCAAACCAACUCACACAUUUUUUGUCCUUUCUCUUAUGAUGCUUUUCUCUUCUCUUGAGAAGGGAUUCCCAAGUGGAAAGAUGAAGCCUUGAUAGAUUUCGUACAUAUUACAUAUUGCAGGAUGCAAAGUUAGGAUGGGUAAGUUAGCAUACUGUUUUCAGGAUGUCACAAAAUUGCCUUUUAGGCAUCAUUUACCCCUUUCAGAGCCUUAUGAAAAUCAGUCUCGUGAUAUACCUUAAGGUGUGUGUUGACUUAAUUCCAGAAAUCUGGCAAGUCUGAAAAUUGGAUUUCUACUGUCAAGGAUUGAUAGAGGCCAGUGCAGAGGGGGCAGGAUGGGAACUCCCCUCCCCUUUUGCAGGUGUGUGUUACCCUAGCCUUGGCCACAUUCCAGUCACAGGGCUCAGGACUUUCAGAAAGCUCUACGCACAGCUGCCUUACUUUCAAGAAAGUGGACUUCGUAUUAUUCAAUAGGAAAGUGUUACAUAGAGAAGGUUGUAAUUUGCUGGGUCCUUUACUCAAAUCUUUGGAGAGUGCAUUCUAGAACAUUUUGUCAUGUCUAACUACCGCCCAUGUUAGAAUAUAGAGUCAGGUACGGUUUUGGCUUGGCUCUGCCGUGUGUCUGUGAGCACGUUUCAUUACUCAUUGUAAUUAAAAAAAAACUUCUCGGGCAUCUAGGUGGCUCAGUCACUUGUGCGUCUGACUCUUGAUUUCAGCUCAAGUCAUGGUCCCAGGGUCAUGGGAUUGAGCCCUGCCUCGGGUUCUGCACUGAACAUGAAGCCUGCUUAUCUCUUUCUCUCAGUCUCUCUCUCUUUCUCUGUUUCUCUCUCUCCUCCCCCACCUCUGUCCCUCUUCCCCUCUCCUGCCCUGUUUGCAUGGGUAUUUACUCUCUCACAUACUCUCUCUUAAAAAAAAAGAAAGGCCUCUUUUGAGAGGAGGGUGUAUUUUUAAGAUUAAAUGAGAUGAUACAUUUAUUUUUUUAAAAAAUACAUUUUUUUUUACCUUUGUUUAUUUUUGAGGGAGGGAGAGAGAGAGCACGUGAGCAUGAGUUGGGGAGGGGCAGAGAGAGAGGGAGAUACAGAAUUCAAAGCAAGCUCCAAGUUCUGAGCUGUCAGCACAUAGCUCGACACGGGGCUUAAACUCAUGAAUGGUGAGAUCAUGACCUGAGCUGAAGUCUAAUGCUCAACUGACUGAGCCACCCAGGCUCCCCAAGAUAAUGUGUUCAAAGCACCCCUAAGUAAGUACUCAAUCAGUCUUGGUUAUUAUAAAAUGUAUCUAUUCAUUUUGUUAUUGUUGCACAUAUUUUUGUGUAGUAACCAUACUACAAAGAGACUUCUCCACUACAUGUUUUGAAGAGUAGACCACUGCUCAACACGCUGUCCAAAGUCUUUCAUCGCUGGCGGAGCUGGCAGGUAUUUGGUGGAAACACUCUCCCUAGCUGUGUAGAAGAAAGCCCCAAGGCUGGCAAUGCCACGAGAAUCAACUCUAUUUCAAGUUAAAAGACUUGUGUGUGUGUGUGUGUGUGUUUUUUUUCCUUUGGAGGAAAAAGAAAUGUAACUUUUCUGUGGGCUGGAAAGGACCACCAAAGACCAAGGCUUAUCCCUACAAACAGAUAUUCACCUGGAAAGGACGUGGCUGAUCUCAUAUCCACCAUGAGUCGUACAAUUGAUUGUCCAGUACACAUUCUAGUCAGAAAGUCCUUUUGUGUUUCUAACUUAGGUACCUCAUAAUAAUUGAGAUGUUUUUUUCUGCUUUCCUAGUACUCCAAGUCCCUUUCCAAAAACAUACACUCCGUUUAGUGGUGUCCUGCGAGCCUCAAAUUCUUCCCUGGCAUUUUUCUUCUCUGACUGAAAAGCCCCACUGAAAGUAUCAAAGAUAAAUUAGUACAUUUAUCCAAUAUCCCCAAUAUCAAAUGAGAUUUUAAGUAACGUGACCACCAAGAAAUGGGGUGAAAAAAGUCUUGGGCCUGCGCAACCUCUGACUGUAUGUUACAGGUGUUCCUCUAAGUAGGCAUUGAACCCUGUGAAAAACACCCCCAGAUGCUCAUUUUCCACUGAGCUGACUCUGGACUCAGUUAGCAGGCCUGCAGAAUCAUCUCCAGUCUAUCCUUUGGGGCUGGGAACAUCUACCCAAUUCUCCAUGGUCACAAUCCUUUCCUGACUUUUUUUAUGAAUAUAAUUUAUUGUCAAAUUGGCUUACAUACAACACCCGGUGCUCAUCCCAGCAAGUGACCUCCAACAGGUGCCAUCACCUGUUUUCCCUCUCCCCCAUGCUCCCAUCCACCCUUAGUUUGUUCUCCGCAUUUAAUAGUCUCUUGUGGUUUUUCCUGACUUUUGAAUCAGGGAGUAAGAAAGCUUGAGUAUCACCACAGUGGCCUCCUGCCUGACCUUCCCCAACUCGACCGCCCUCAGGAACCAUGGCCAGUUUUGUGCAUUUCUGUCCUCAUCCUGUUACUUUUAUAUUUAUUCAUUUAUGCAUUCUCUCAUUGAGUAUGACAUGCCUGCUCUGUGCCUCAGUGCUGCCUACAGAGACCUUAGGCAUUGGCACAAAGCCCCGGGAGUCUAACACUGCAGAGAAGCACCAUCUUUGACAAGGGCUACUAAGUGCUUCUGCGUGUGUGCUACUUUGGUGGCUGAUCAAGUUCCAGCAAAUAAUAUUAGAGAGUGUCAGCUAUGCCUGUGUGGAGUAGGGCUGGAGAAUAGUGCUUCUGUGCCUCUGUAGGUGAGCACAUUUACAGUGGAUGCUGAGACCUGGAACUGGUGGGGGCAUAAGAAUUUUUAGAUCAAAGAGGAACCCCAGAAGAGAUCUGUGAACAAUAGGAAGUCACCAGACAAAACCUUCAAUCCCAGUUUUCAUUUUGUUAUCAGUCAUUGCAUUGCCCUACAAUUGCAGCAUUUUUUAAAAGAAAUGUUUCCAAAGCUACAAAGCUUUGAAAUAUUAAAGGGAAAUAAAUGAACCAGAACUUGGAAAGUUGGUUUGCUCACAGGAAAAUUGUGGGGUUUCUUUUUUCAUUUGAAAUUAAUGUAAAGGCAGUUCCCCCACUCGAAUGGAAAGCUUAUUUGUUUGUUUUUGUAAAUAGGCAUAAAAAAAGAGCAUAGAAAAUUUGUACCUCACUCUUUGAUGCUUAGCAGGAGGUUUGUGGGUUUUUUUUUCAUAACUGAGGCCUAAGAAAAAUGCAGUAGCACAAUACAUCACUGAUACAACAGUCUGAUAGAUUUAUAAAAUGUUUAGUGAAUGUAUUCUGCUUAGACCAGCAGGAACACCUGCUUCUAUUAUUCCAUCACUGAUAAAAUGGUAAAUAGCUUCUGUCAGUCAUGCAGUUUGCAUAAAGCCACAUAGUUUACUUGUGGGAUUGGCCAUUUGUAUGGAAUUACAUGGAGUUUGUGUUCAAUCUCUUCGUUAAAUGAUUCAGUAAAAUUAUGGGGUCAUAAAUGGACAGUGACACCAUUUUCAUCUUUGUUCAUCUUAUCUUUUCUAUCCACUCCCUAUUUCUCUUGAUUGCACUUCCUCCAGUGUAAGCUGCAAGAUGUACCUUCAAGGAUUAACUGUUAUUGUUCCGUGGGUCAUAGUGGGCAUCUAGGUGGUCAGCCUGAUGUCAUUUCUUUUCUUUUUUUCUUUUUUUUUCCCCCGGUACAGUUUGAUUUCUCUCUUGAUCAAUGAGAACCAUGACUUAAAAUCUGACAGUUCUAUAUCCUCCCACUAACCAAUUUAAUGAAGCAGUAACCACCGAUAUUUGAGAAGAAAAAGUGCAACUAUAUUCAAAUGUUAUAAAGAUAGUGCUAUAAAAUAACAACACUCGUGAUGCUCAAUGUCCCUUCACUGACCUGGAAAAUGGGAAAACACACUUUUUUUUUUCUUUUUAACUGAAAACACUUCCCUGUUCUAGCUGGAAAGACUGAUGAUAUCCUUUUGCCAGGUCUAAUUAGCACUUGGUGCUUCUUACUCUCCUUGGACUGAGGGACUGAAACCAAAUUCUUCAGAGAGGUGUGAGUUCUUGUUGGGACACAAGUGGUAAGCAUUUGGCUUUUCCUUAGAAACUUAGAAGGAAAAACACUUCUGUGUUGGGGCCUUCCUCUUUUACUUUCUUGGAUUAUGGAAGGGGCCUCUGGUAGUCCAGGUAAAACACAGGGCACCGAACAGACUUGGACUUUACUGAUGGACUAUGUAACACAUCCAGACAGAAAUCACCGUUGUUCAGACAGAGUUCUGUAGUUAGUCCUGUUCCCCUCCUUUUCAUUCUCUUUAAGUAGUAUAGCUAGUCUAGUAUCUGUUUUAUUUUAGACCAGUGAUCUCAAAUGCUAUUUAGCUGUUCUUAACAACUGAUAGUAAAUAUUUUCACGCUCACUGAGAUGUCUGCCUUUUUAAAUCAGUGACCUAGUUUUUACACCUUUGGCUAUCAGCUUCUUGAAUAGUCAUUAGAGCCACCUAACUCAGAUAUCUACAUUUAGCAAUAUCUGAAAAUGAUAUAUAAUUUGCACGUUCCUGUAUAAUAGAGACUACGUCAAAAUGACAGAGGAGUUUGUGGAUUAUGAUAGACUGUACCCUCUGGGAUGAGAAUUCUAGGUAGUUUACUCAGUCUUACUUGAUUAAAUCAGGCAUAGAACAUAUUUAGUGGGUUCUGAUACCCACCUCCUCCUUUCUGGAAGACUGGUAAUGUGAAUAAAGACAUUCUCACGUGUGGUCCAGUCUUUGUCUGUCUGCCUCAUGUUGCUCCUGUUCCCCUGUCUGUAUUGUAAUGCCUGCAUCUAUCUUGGGGGCUUGUUUACUAAACCCAGAGAACUCUGAGUUUUUGCUUUUGCCUCUAUGCAAGUCCUUGGUCUUGAUCCUUUGGUUCCCAUAGGAGGCUUUGCUUCUAGUAUGCUCUGCACAGCGCUGGCUGCCUGCUUUCCUCUUCAGUGGGAAUGGCUGAAAUGGCUGCAUGUUGCUGCAGCUCUCUGUCCCAAGCUCCUGGAUGAUGUGCACCUGUGGCCUUUGUCAGCUGCCUCCUAUCUGCACUGUCAGCAUUUGGCAUUGCUGUGACAUGGGGCCAGGGGGAGGGGGCGGAAGCCGUUUAGGCAGGAAGAAGUCAUUUCGGGACAAAACAAGAGCUGAAAUUGGAUCUUCCAUUGGGCAGAGUCAUCACGCUAUUUAUGAAGGACGUUUUCUUCCUUCCUCUUGCCUCAGAAGUAAUUUGUAAGUGAGUAAUUGGGAAGCGUUUCAUGCCCUCAUGCAUUGACUAGUAAAUAAUAAGUAUACAUCAAAUGAACGUGAAUGAAACCAUGAAGCUGACUACUUCUGUGUACAUUUGAUGGGGUUUAACCACAUCACAUCUUUGUUACAGAAGGCUUCUGUGAGACAACCUCUUUUACUAACUCCAACUUGUAAAUAAACCUGAAUUAUUUAUGGUAUUUUAUGAUUAUUUUGCUUUGUCUUAGGAAAAAAAUUUUAAAAACCCCUAGGAAAUCCCAUCUUUAAAAAUCUCCGGCAUCUGUAGGAGCAUGAUUAAGAUACAUCACAGAUUUCUUUUUCCAUAACAGUAGGAGAUUUAAAUUAAAGUAUUGGAAAACCAUUUGCCCCCCCCCCCGCCAUCCUAACACCCUGUUUAGAGUCUUCUCUUAGAUGAAUAGCAUGUAACUCAGUCUAUUACUGAGGGUGUGUUUUGCAGUGGCAUUCCUUUUUCAGAAAGCUGUGUAUGAGAAGUUCCCUUCAUAGAUGGGUUACUCAUUGAUUCACAAAUAAGAAGAAGAAUAAAAAAAAUCUGUGUAUUUAUUUAAAUCUGAUUAGGCUCCCUUUUCAUUAUUUUUGUAUAAAGCCACCUUCUUGGCAAUAAUAAUAAUAAUAAUAAUAAUAAUAAAUUUGGUAGUCUACAGUGUAAUAAACUUCUUCCCCAUGUAAUAUAAGAGCUGAAGGAGAGAAUGUCUUUCAAAAGUGAACUGUCUUAAACUAACAUAUAGGAAAUAAAGUAGAUGUAUUCAGUCUUGAUAAAAGUAUACCUUCAGCAUUAAAGCUUCCGUCUUUGGAACGUAACUACUUUGGCAGAAUCUAUUGCUUUCUCUGUUUAUGAUCAACCUGACCCUGGCAGUCUGUCUUAGAAUAUUGAGACGUGCCCUUAACACCACCUCUUCUCUAAGCAAAAUAGUCAAUAAAUAUGAGCACGUGUGUAGGAAGAGAGUGGAGUGUGAAAGAGAUAGAAAAGGAGACUAAGGUAAGAAUUGGAAAGGAUUACCAAGAGCAAAAGAAGAUUUCCUCUACUUUGCUAGAAAUCCAUGGAAGAGUCAAGAAUGUAUUGGCCACGGAGUGUUCUGACCUCAGUGUCUGUGACUCUGGUAGAAGCUGGUGUGAGCUUUCCACAUACCUCAUGGGCCUCUGGCAGGAGGAUGCCAAGAAGGGAAAAUGGAUAAUCCUGGGCCAGCUGGUUUCCUUCAGCCCUUCAUUCAUGCCUUGCCUUGUUCCAAAGAGCUUACGUCAAAGUGUAUGGCUUACCUUAGUCAGAUUGUUAGGUAGCAAAGUAAUCUUACUCAAAAGUACACUUAAACUUACAAAAUCAGCACCAUAGCAUGAAGCUCGCAGUGUGCUGUUUCUGGUAGAUUUUCCUCUCUGCUCACAUCUGUGAUUAGACAAGUACACUAGUUUUAAUCAACUACUCCAUAUCUCUAACCUAGAAUCACAACUUAUGAAUACCUUCAGAGAGAGUGCUUAGAAGGGCAGAGCCUUCUAAUGACUUGUUAGCUUAACAAUAAACCAUUGAAGCUCCUAAUUUGCCUAUAAACACAUCCCACUGGCAUUGCCCUACACAGUACAGUUCAAAGGGCCUAAUAACUGCCCUGUUCUUUAUAUGGAACUGUUUCAACCCCUGCUGAGACCUAGAAGAUUAAGAAUGUAAAGGGAAGUAAAGCUUCAUUCCCUGUAAAUUUGGCUCAAGACCUACAAAUUAUCUGUGGCUGCUAAUUGAACUCUUUAUUUCCUCCUCAAUGAAGCUCUUCAGUGGAUGAUGCAUUUACAAGUUUUUCAUUUCUACCCUCCGCUGGAUGAUCUGCAUCUCAGUCUAGAGGCAGUGUCCUUCUUGGUAACUCCCCACAGAACGUAGAAAGCCAUUGCAAAGGCACAGGUGAUAGUCUUCUUGACUGCAGAACAUCUAGGAAAAUCAUCUCUUCGAUUUCCACUGGACUUAGGUAUUUAUGGUCUCUAGUGUCAUUGAUUAAUACUUCAAAAGGUCUUCAGAGCAAAAGUAUGAAGUCACUCCUGAACUGGCUUGUCAUUUCCUUCUAAAACGUAUCCUUUGAUCUUCAGGUCUAAAUUAAAACAAAUCUUUUGUGGCACCUAUAGGUAAAUCUCUUCCAGUUUUUAGUAUUAUGUUGACUCAUACUAUUUAUCAUUUGUAGGUUAAAAAAAAACAUUUUAAGUGUUAGCAAUGGCAUAUGGUUCAAUAUGAUAGAAAUGGAGACUGGCUGAUGCCAGUCUAAUAAAUUACGACUUACACCCUUCUUAAAAAUUUGAGUGCCUUUAUUUUUCUCAGUCUUCAUUGUCUCUAAUUUAUUCUAUUCUUUUUCUCUUUCAAGUUCUAUUUGGAUUGAAUAGGAGUACUAAACAUAUAGCCCUAGGGAUUGUGGCCUUUCCCUGCCCAUCUAAUGUAAGGAGGAGAAAUUAUUCUAACCCAGAUGAACAUUUCACUACCUUGUUCUGUAGCCAGGGUACACUCAAGAAACAUGGAUGGUAUCAGGAGGAUACUUCUCAGCUGCAGUGAAUCUCUCCAGUGGGUGGCCAAAAUGAAAAAGAAACCCUAAAAAGUUCUGAGUUAAUAAAAUAAAUAAACGUUAAAAUAUUGCGCCCUUGAUUAAAAUUGAAUAUGUAAGCAGGCAGAAAAUAAGAAAUUCUGCUGUGGAAUUUAGUGAAAUACUAACUCUUUAUAAUAUUCUUUAUGAACUAUAGCAACAAAACUCUUAAUAUAGUUUUCAAAAUGGUGGUUAGAGGAUGUUGUAAAUUUAUGUGGUUCUCUUUGGCAAGGAACUUUAGAAAUGAGCAUUUUUUCCCAAGUUUUACCCCAGAUUUAUCAGUACUAGAUUAUCCUUAUUUGUAACGUCUAAUUGUGAAAACUUGACUUCUUAUCAGGAGUUCUCCCUUCAAGUCUUCGUGGCAAUUCACUUAACCUUCCCUAUAGGAGUUGGGUCCUUUCCAAUCAGUUUGCCCUUGGUUAAGGGUUGGUAGGAAAACAUCCCGAGGUUGAACACUUCGCCACUGGCCAAAUGGUUGCAGAUCAUCCCUGACUCAACCUUGUCCUAACCUGUGUUUGCUCUCAUGCCAUGCACAUGGAAAAGGGAAAAAAUAACUCUGCCCCCCUUUUUUUUUUAAUCAGUUCUUUUUGGGAAACAGCCAAACAUCCUUUCAUAAUCAAAUGCCUGUGUAUCCACAGGCACUGGCCACAAUCCAAACAUUUAUUGGUCAUUGAACACCUUGCAUGAGGUAAUUUUCAAUUAUCUUAUUAAACCGGAACAGGGAUCUGGUCAUGUUUCCUUUGAUUAUAAAUGUAGCUCAUGUUCUUAUUACUGUUAAUAGCAGUGCUCAUGGGGUGCCAGCAGUUUUCUGGGCACUGUCCCAUAGGAAAUGCUGUCCUGUGUCCUUUGUGAAGAAAGGCACCAGGAACAAAGAAGCUGAGGGUGGGACCAUUCAGUCAUUGUUUAUUUCGGAGGAGGGGGGCCUGGGAUGGGUAAUUGCAUGUGACCGAACAUGGUGGUGGUGCCAUAAGCAUGGUGAAAGUUUGAGAUUGCUACAAUAGAGUCCCUGGGAGGAAGUCGAAAAUGCGAAUGUCUUGAAGGAAAAUGACUACCAAUUUUUUUGUUGAUACACAGCUUUAUCUAUGGACACAUGGCUUAAGCAGUAGCAGAACACUCAGACCAAGAAGAGACUUGAGAAACAUAAAACUUGUCACCCCAGGACUUCUAGGUUCUCCCUACUGAUGCAUUCAUUUAAAUAUUUCCUGCUUUUGAAUUAAAUACUUCAAUUGCUUUAUUUGCCUAGAAAUUUCUAGAAUAGGGUCCAUGCCUUAAGCUACAGAUGAUUGUCUAAAUAAAAGUUAGGGGUGCCUAGAUGACUCAGUCCUUUAAGUGUCUGGCUCUUGAUUUCAGCUGAGGUCAUGACCUCACGGUUCGUGAUGGAACCCCACAUCAGGCUCUGUGCUGACAGUGUGGAGCCUGCUUGGGAUUCUGUCUCCCUCUCUCUGUGCCCCUCCCCCACUUGCUCUCUUUCUCUCUCUGAAACUUAAAAAAAAAUAAACUUUCAACAUAUAAAAUAGCAUACAAAAUAAAAAAGUUUUAAAAAAAGUGUUAGGAACUCGUAAGUUUGUGGUAAAGGAGAGUUCAGGAGCCACAUUUAGUGAUUUUGAGACGAUGUCAAAGGACAAUAGCUGAUAAGAGGAGCAGUGAUAGAAACAGAAAAUCUUAGUGCCCAUAACAGGAAUUUAUCACAGAAGAAUAAUUAUUUUCUCACUUUAGUGGCCUUGAUACUAAAAACAAAACAAAACCAACACAAAACAUCUAAUUCUCUAUGAAAUAUAAAUGGUUAUUGUAUAUAUUUAAACAAGUACACAUUUUAAAGAAAUUGUGUGGUUUGUUUCAUUUUAACUUAUAAUUUUAGUUAUCAUUACUACAUUUUCAUAAUUUUCAUAAUUUUAAAAGAUGACAGAUUACUUGUCUCUCUCUAAUCACAUUGUUUUAAAGUAAACCUCUAGCUUAAUUGAAAAAAAAGGUACAUAAUAUAAUUAAAUUUUGCUCUGAUCUUUGUCUUUUGUAAUGCGGGAAAGCAUGGUUUAUUCGGGUCACCAGCUUAAUUUGAAAGCAGAAAGUGCAGAAAGUUCAGGGAGAUGCAUUCACAAACUGUGAUUCCAGCAAUCCUGUCCCUAAGCCUUUCUGCUUUACCCCAGCUGACCACUCCAGAAAGCAGUAAGAAUGUGGAUUUCCAGAGCCCUACUAGAAUGGAGGUGCCUCACGCUGUGCCCGAAGUGAAUUUUAGCAAAAACCAAGCACAGACAGCAACUGCGGAGGAUAGCCCUGUGAAAACAUCCAACAUAUCACAGUACCCUGCAAGGAGUUCAUGUGCCAAAUGCAAGAACGCAUCAAGUUCCCGAUGACUGGGGUACUUUACUGCCCUCUUUGUAGCCCUAACGUUGGCAGUCCCAAGUUAGGUUACUUUCUUCAAAAUUGCUGCAUAAAUAAAAUCACUUUAUAAAUAUUUAUAAACUUAUUUCAUUAAUCCUUUUCUGGUCUAGUGUCAUGAAGCUGCAUAAGUCCAAGGAAUUAAAAAUAAUAAAUAAAAGAAACUCUUGAAGGAGUUUUCCUGUGGUACUGAAAUUUACCAAAUGUGGCCAAGCUCAUGCAGCUUUUCUGCUCAUAGUUAAAUUGUAGUGACAGCUAGAAUUUCCAGAAGCUAGGAUUGGAUGCAGUGCAUUUAUUUCUUUCAAUUUUUGAUGAUACUCUUCGAUUUUGACCUCCUUUAUUCAUCCUUUUUCUAUAUGUCACAGUAUUUCAGGCUUUUUUUUCUCACACCCACAUGAUUACUCCCCACUUCUAAAUUGUCUCCUGUCUUCCUGCCUUUAGGUGCUGGCUGAUUUAAUCCAGCCUAUACACAGUCCUUGCAUUGAUCACUGGAAUCUGCUCAUUAUUUUUAUCAGUUUCCCAGUUUAGACAACAGAAAAGUCAUUACUCACCAGUCUUCUUGAGUAGUUAUUCAAGGCUCCUUCUAUCCUCAUCACAGAGAUGGGCCUAAACCUACCUUCUAGCCCAGGAAUAAAAAAGUACCAACUCUGCUCAGCUCCAUGUCUCGUGUGGAUUUCAGUGAUGUGCAUUCCAAGUGUAGACUUAGAAUCAGUCUUUCUUAGUGUUCCAGGUAUACCAUUCACUGUUAGCUGGGACUCACACUUUGGCCGAAACCAUGUUUCUAUCUGUGAUUUUAGCCUAGUAUUUCUCAACCAGCUGUGUUUUUUGCCCUCCAGGAGACGUUUGGCCAUGUCUGGAGACAUUUUUGUUGGUCCCAGCUGGGGAAUUACUACUGGCAUCUAGUGGGUAGAGGCCAGGAAUGUUGUUGAACGUCCUGCAUUACACAUGACAGCUCUCAAAACAAAUUUUCCACCUCAAAGUGUCAGUGGUGCUAAGGUGAAGAAACUCUUUAGCCAUAUUGCUCACUAUGAUUUGUCUAUACUUCAGACCAGUUCUUUUACUAUGGUUACCUGCCACUUGAAUAUGCAUUGCUCUCCCACCUCCUCUUUGCCUUCGUCCCUGCCCAUCUUCCCAACCAUCUAUACGUGCUUAGCUAUAACCUACUGAAAUUCUGCCCAUUUUUUUUGCAAACUCAGCUGGAUAGAUGCUGUCUACUCAAAACCAAACCAACCAACCAACCAACCAACCAAAAAACCUCCCCUUGUCAUUCCACUUGACAAUGAUGCCCGCUCUUCUGAAUUCCUACAGUGUUUAGUAUUCACUAUAGUCUAAUACCAUUCAGGCAAAUCCGCUUGUAGGGUGGUUAUGUCUCUAUCUUAUUUUCCAUUUUAGACAGUUCUAGAUACUUAGCUUCUAACUUGAUGUGCGUUGUAAAGCCAAGCAACAUAGCCCCCUGAAACCCUGUAGAGUUUUGCCUGGUUUUAAUCGUACCAGAAUCACAACUUAGCAUGUAUCUUUUUUUUUUUUUUUACUUACCAUUAGGAUAUGUUUUUUCAUAUUGCUUGGAAGUCUCCAAAAUUAUUUUUAAUAACUAUAUAAUGACAUUCAUUCAAGUUGAUAUGCUCUAAUUGACUUAACUAAUCUCCUCUUACUUUAGAGUUAAUUCAAUGUUAGUUUUUGACAAAAUAAGUAAUACCAAAUUGGAUAUCUUUGGUACAUAGCUUUCUCCGCUUUCAUCUGUAAUAUUCCCUUCGAAUGAAUUCCAAGGAAUGGUCCAAAUGGUUGGGUGUGUUUUUAUUGCUAGUGAUAUGUAUUGCCAAAGUUACUCCAAAGUGACUUACCAGUUAAAUAGCCAGUAACAAUAUUUAAGGAAACCAUAUAUUAGAAACAGUCAGGAGGCCCAAGUUCAAGUAACAUUCAGAUUUUCACUAAUAGCAUGGUCUUAGGCAAACCGCUUAAUCAGUUUGAUCAUAUUUUCUUACCUGUAGAAUGUGGAUAAUGAAUCUUUAUCAUAGGGCCAUGAAUAUGAAAUCAGAUAAUAUCUUUGGAAAUAAGCUAUAAACUGUAAUUACCAAUGUUCAUUCAAUAAAUAUUGAUUUAAAGACUUCUUUAGACCAGAUUCUUGACCAAGAACUAGGGACAUAGACAUAAACACAGUCUUGGCUUCAAGGAGUUCUCAGUUAAGUGCUAUGUAAUUUUCAAAAUAUUAUUUUAGAUAGUAAAUUGAAAGAACGUUACUUUUUAGGAAGUACAAGGGAUUGAAAGUAAAGGCUGUCCAUGUAGCAGGACAUACAAAUAUGAAAAGCUCACCAAUUGAAUAAGGUGAUUAUUAGUUUUCUUUUGCUACCACUUGGUCAGUUUAUCUCUCUAGCCUAAACCAAAACUGCAUUUCCUUGCUGAAAUACAUUUUUAGGUUUGGUUGUUUUUUGUUUGUUUUGUUUUGUUCCAUUUUGUUUUAGCGUUGCUGGAUUUUGUUUUUUGGUUUUUGUUUUUUGUGGGGUUUUUUUUUGCCCCUUCAUGUAUUAUGACAGCACUUCCCUUACUGCUGUACUCAGUUGGGUAUUUUUGUUCCUCAUUUUUUCUCCCUGGGAAAAUUCAAAGCAUUUUUUAAAAAGUCCCAUUUGCUGCUGAUGGCAUUUCUUUGUCCUUUUCUGAGUCACAGGUCUCUAGAAGCUGACGAGGGCAUGGCCCCACUUGUGGCUGUUUUGUGACUCUCCCAUCAAGACUGCUUUUCUUCAGAGUAACUGAAAGUAUUUGGAACUCCACUGUCCUUAGAUCUAUCUUCUGGAAAUAGAUAAUGAUUUUCCUGCCUUUGAAUGUAGACCUACAGUGAGCCCUUUAGCUCCUCGUCUCUGAGUUUGCUGGGCAUCAGAAGCUGAGGCUAGAGGAGUAACUGUAUGUAGUAAAAUGCAUCAGAACUGGCUGUGUCAGAACUGCUAGUGUGAGCAGGCACUGUAACAGGAGUCCUGGCCUAAGGACCAGAGGCCACAAAAACAGGGAGUUCGUGGGCAGGGGCAGCUUAUGCGGAUGGAGAUAAUAAAAAAUAUUACCACUUUGUGGAUGCUCCCAGAAGGACUUCAGACUGGCAGAAUGCAAGGUGCUUUUUCUGCCUGAUAUAAAUUCUGCUUUUAGUUACUUGAUUGACUUAAUCAGAUCUAGGAUCUCAAUGAUUUUAGAGAAAAACUCCCUUCUUUCUGGAUUGAGCUCUGGAGUAAUGCCCAUCACAGUCAGCCUCUACCCAUUGUUGCUGUUACAAACGUACCUAUAUUUCUUGACUCAUUCUUUUUAUAUUAGGUCAUAAAUGAAAAUCAGCCUUCCUCUUUUGAUGGGUGUAUUUUUUGCUUUCUUUCAUUUUUUACUUUUCUCAGACUCAAGCGGAACAGAUUAUAUCCUUAGUUGGAGGCCCAUGCUAUGUGAAUAUUACAAUACUUCCUGGCAUUUUACUUAAAUGUGCAAAUGAAAAAAGAGCAAGCUUACAGACGGCAGGUGCAUGGGAAGGAGUGGAGACAUCAGGUUAAAGUACCUCCCACAUCCACUUCCUUCCAACAACAAACAUUUGUUUUCUCUACUCCAAGUCAGCAAAACAUGAGAGCAAAUGGAAGUUUAGUUGGUGGAGAGAAGUAGAAAUCCUUAUUAACCUCUUGUCUUGAAUUCCUAAGUAUUUCAGUAUUUAGUCUUUUCUUACUUAUCUAGUAUUUAACUUAAACCAGAGGGCAUCCCUGUGAGAGACAAUGAAGGGUACCAACCUCAUUUUAUAACCCUAGAGCAUCAGUUAGUAGGUUGCUUCAAUUAUGUCAUCAGUGGAUCAGUGACAAAAGAAGAAAAAUUGAGCCUGUAACCAAAAAUCUUCUUAAUGUCCCACACCAAGCAUUUCUGCUUCAACACUCCUGUCUUUACUGACAGUUUAUGCUUCAAAUCUGAGAAGCCACUGAGACUUUGACCCACAAUCCUUUCUGAACCUGGAUCUGUUUUAGAGUUUCGCUUUAAAUGUCUUUUUGAGAAUUUAAUUAUUGAUUUCUGACAAGCAUUGCCCUGACACAAAUAUGAUACUAGAAAUUCUACCCUCUCCGAGAAGAAUACUUCACAGAGAAGAGUGAGGGGAAGACAGUUUGAGGGCAAUGGGGUUACCUCUUCCCACAGUGGCAGGCAGGGCGAUUGGAUUCUGACACCAUCUCCUCCUCAUGAAUGACUGGUCCACAAAAAACAAUCAACUUUUAAGCAGUAAAGGUAGUGCAGAAUUGCCUUUUUGGCAUUAACUUGUGGGUGUCUAUGGUAAAUAUAGAUAAGAAAGUUGAAUGGUGGAAUUUUCUUUUCCUCCUCCUGCCCUUCAGUCCCAAAAAUGCACCAAAGGAAAAUUCUCUAUGACCUAUGAAGUGUGAAUUCAGUAUCCCAGUUUUUCCUGAGAUGUGCCAAACACUCAAGUUUCAUUACCAAAUCUAGUUUGCAGCCAAGGCCCAUAAGACUGUAUUGAUGCCUGGACGCACGUUUUUUUUAUGCCGUAGAUGGACAAGCUCCAUGCUGAGCCUUAGACUUGUAUUUGAAGGAUUCCAACUCCCCUUCAUAGAAUCUGGUAGGGAGAGUGUAUCUGUAUUUUUUAUCCAUAAAUGGUGGCAUUCCCAUUCUCACUGUGUCCGUCUUGUUGGGGAGAUUCCAUUCUUACCAGGUAGAUUCUGUACAUUGUUCUGCAGACGGUAUUUUUAAGAGUCUCGCAUAGGCCUCAUUGAAAAAUCCAUGAAUUCUGCCGAAGAGCAUAAAUCCACACAGGCAAAAGACAACAAAAAAAGGAAAAAAGAACACUCUUAGAACUCAUUUUUAGUUAGUGUUUCUCAAGAACAAAACCUUUUACUUUUCUUGUUGUUCCUGGAUUGGACAUUUUCUGGCCUUUCAGCUUAACCACACCUUUGCCUCUUUGAGCCAGCCUUUUAUUUAUUUUUGUCCUCUUAGAUGUUUCUAUCCAAAUCUUAUACUUUCUUCAAAGUUCACCUCAAAGCCCACUUAGCCUUCAAGGAGAUUUCUCUGAUACUGUUACUCUUAGUUAUAGCAAACACUUCCUUCAAUCUUCUGUCAAUAGUAUUCUGUGUAUAAAUCACAUGCACACACAUAAAUACUGUAGCACAUUUGAGACACAGACUAGGUCUCUUAGAGCAUCUGUGUAUCUUGUCUUCACUGUGGUUUCUCCAUAUCAUAGCUGUCACAUAUUUUCUGUCCAAGAUAAUCACGGCCCUACAUGUAAAAAUUUCUCACUCUGCCAGUUCUGUGUUUCUGACUCUCUUGCCUAUUCAGACUGUUCAUUUGUCUCCUUCUUGUCAGUAUAUGUCCUUUGCAUUCUGUAAGAUGAUGCUCCCGAAUUACCUUUUCUAGAAAGUUCUCCAUUAUUAAUACCUUUGCUUCCAAAAAUAUUUUGGAUGUGGUUUGCCUCAGCACUUACUGUUGCUAUCUAUAAAAUAAGAACUUUCAUGGACUGAACUGUUUAAUUGGUCUCUUGGAUUGUACAGUAUUCACAUUUCUUUCAGCUCUCCAAUUCCAUAAAGCUCCCAGGAUGCCUUUGUUCCCAGCAGUAUGGGAUCACCUCUGCGGCAAACCCUUCUCUUCUUUUGUAUUUUUAAAAUCAACCUCAGCACACAUCAAGCAUACAAUAAUAAGGGAUUAUGAACCAACUUCAUCUUCACAAGUAGGAAGCUACAUGAGAUGGCUUAGGCUUCAACAUGCAUGAUUUAGGUUGAACAUAAGGGAUAAAUUCCCUGAUAAUAAAAUUGAUUGAAGGUGAGAACAAGGUAUUGAAGAACAACAAGGACUCUAUUCCCUAGAUAUCACUAAUGGGAAAAAAAUAAUAAUAAUUUCUCUUGGUGGAGUCCAGGCACUAGACUAGAAGAUGUGCUGAGAUUUUAUCUGGCCCCAGGAUUUUAUUAAACUCUUCAUUGAUAACACUCCUUUCAUAACAUGUUUUCUGGUAAGGGGUUUCUGUCUUUCUUUUUUUCUGUUAAAAAAUACUAAAUAAAAGACAUAGGAAAGCUUCAAUUAUUUUUAGAAUUAAAUACAGAUUUUGAGUAAUUAAACAUGGGGGGGGACUACAUGUCUCUAUGAUAUAUUUGUCCAACACUAUUGAGGCCAUUUUGUUUUGUUUGCCUAGUUUCUUCAAAAAUCCAAGGGAAAAAUAUUUUUAAAAAUAUUAUUUUUUUCCUGCCAAGUAAAUGACAAUAUUUCUCUUAGAAGUAGACGCUCAUUUUAUAGAAAUCAGAGAAGCUGAAAAGUGAAUCCAACAAUUUUUUUUUCUAGAACUUAAUACUUUCUAGUUAUGGGUAUUAGUAUUUGUGCCCAUGUGCAUAUUUAUUCUCAGAUUUAUUUUCCCCAUUUAAUUCAUUCAUUUUUGGUUGUUUUAGUAUGGUUUCCAAUUAUAGCAGUGAGGUUUCUGGAGAGAAAAAAAUGAACUGCCAAUGAGAUGAGACUCUGGCUUUGCUUUCCUGAAUAGCUUUUAUUUUUAUAUGAUUCUUAUUAAGGAAAUGGUGCUAAAAGUUGGUACUUCAUACUUUCAGGCAAGUGUAUGCAAGACGAUGUAAUUAAGAACCCUAUUCAUAUUAAUUGAUUGAUACAGAUUUUAUAAAUAAAACUUUAGAGUGUGAAUCCAUUUCAUCUCAGACUAUGGAACAUUGCCACUGAUAGCUAGAAAUAUUAAAUGCAUGUUCCUGGAAAAUCCUCAAAAAUCACUUAUUUGUGAAAUCAUAGUUUUGAAUCGAUAGCUAUUAAAUCCUCUAUUGUAAUAGGAAUUGUCACUUAACCGGUAAUGGCAUAAUGUGGGCUAAAUCGUGACUAAAAUACAAGUGCGAGGUAGUAACAGCCUGGUUGGACGUGAACACUUACCUGUUUCCUUAGAAUUCCUUAUUGAUAUUGCAUGACGCAGUAGUGAAGUUGCCAUUCCAACUCUGUGUGAAUAUUUUCUAAGUGUGGGAAGGGAUUAGCAUACCCCAAAUAAAAUACCCUAUUGAAACAACCGAAGGAAGAUGUGUUUGGAUUCAUAGGAAAUGUUUCUAAUUGUUUAGAGGAACAAGUGCACCAACUCUUGUGUUUUGAACUACGUUGCCACAUUAGAUAUUACUUCUCUUCUCUGAAUUCCCAUCAGAUCAGUGGUGCUGUUGUCUUCGAAAAUACCCUCUGCCUUUCCGAGGACAACUUUUAGGAGUUCUAAAUCAACCUGGUUAGUAUGAGUACGUUUCUGAAAAGAAAAAUGAGAUUUGACUGGAGUAAAUGGGAGUAAGAAAAAAAAACAUUACUAAAUAACUCUAAGAAUUAGAACUAUUUUCAAACCUUUGUUGAUGGAGGACCUUUUUGUCUUCCACAGCGUAUUUUCCUUCUCAUUGGUGGUUUCAGUUCCCAGGAAUUAUAUACAAACACACACACAGGCAUGCAUGCUUUAGUCAGGCUAAAUGUUUGCGAAGACAUAGAUUGUUAAAUAUUAAAAGGUUAUUCAGCCAAGGCAAUGUGUUUUCGGAAAUCCACUUCUAAUUGUGCACACCCACAAAAUUUAGUUCCAGAGGAACCAAUGAGGUUGAUGCUCACCUAAAACUUUAUAGCUUGUGUCCUCUACAGGCAUCUCCCCACCUAGUGUCCCACCUAGUCUUGUUGCUAGGCCCUCAUGUAACCUAUAAAAUAAUUGAUGUGGGUCCCCCUUUUGCCCUGAAUAUCCGAGGGAAAGGGCUGAUAAGCAGUGAGAUUAUUAGCAAACAAGAGGAAGAAGGAUCAGAGGCUAACCAGCUUUUCACCUGGAUACCUGCUUCAGAAAAAUCCGGAGUGUGCAAUAAAGAAUGAUAACAGAUGGGGUGGGAGCCUCCCAAGCUUCUGUGGUACUACCAGUGGGCAGUGUAUUAACCACUAGUCCUGAGAAUUUCCACAGAGAGAGUUCCUGUGGCAUUGAAAAUAAACUGUUUACUUUUAAGGGACCGUCAAGACAGGCAAAUAUUUUUACAAACAUUUCCAUGGACUCUUUGCUUUCCCUCCCCUACAUUCCUUUCUAUAAAAAAUAUUUGUAUUUCUCUGUUGAUGACUUUUAAGAAAAUAUGUUAAUAUAGUUGUAAGAUUUUUUUUUUUCUAUUUAGGAUGUCCUAUUAGGAUGCCCAUAUAUAGACGGGGCCAGGGUGCAGAUGGAAAAGAAAUUCUUAGGAAAAGUCCUUUUGGAGUUAAAACAGUUUCAUUUGAAUAUUUCCGUGAUCAUUGAUCUUCCACGCAGGGCUCCAUUUAUCACUUUAGACAGCCCUGCACUUGCUUCUGUUUCUUAAUAUGUUACCAGAGGCUUGUCCUACCAUACACAAAUCAGUUAUUUUAGCAUAAAUUCUCCUUUGUUCAGGUAUUAUCAGUUAUUUUACCACCUCCUAUGGGACCAGGUGCUACAGAUUAUAAAGAAUAACCUCUCCACCUACUAGGUACUUACAGUCUAGUCGGAGGGACAAAUCAUAUACAUAAAAAACAAUUAGAAUGUAAUAAUACAGUGUCAUAUUAAGCACGGCUUAAAUUGGUAUUGUAAGGCACUGCAUUGUGCAUUAUAGGAAAUUGUGAUGAAAGUCUAACAUCUGAUAAGAGGGAGGAAUCAGAAAAGAAAAAUUAAGAAAGAAGUCCAUGCGACUGGCUCACGAAGGAAAAACAUUUAGGCUGGGCAUAAAGGUAGUCUAGAGGUAGGGGUGCCUGGGUGGUUAAGCACCUGGCUUCGGCUUAGGUUGUGGUCUCACAGUUUGUGAGUUCGAGCCCCACAUUGGGCUCUGUGCUCUCAGCACGGAGCCUGUUUCAGAUCCUGUCUCCCUCUCUGCCCCUCCGCCACUCAUGCUAGUGCUCUCUCUCUC